ACUUUCUGCUUCUUUUCCCAGCUGGUCUAGGCUCUGGGAAUGCAGCUCUUCCUGACUGGCUUCUUUCUCCUGUGAACAAGAAGAAAGUGUGACCUGCAAUGUCAGCAAGCUACCAAGAAGUCUAGCAACACUCUAGGAGAGAGGCAAGGUAAGCUGAACAAGACACAGGAGAAUAAAUCUUAGGGCUUUCUGCUUUCUUAGGGAUUUCCAAACUUAUCUGCUCUGUGUUGCAGAGUUUAAACUGUCAGACUGACUGACUAUAAGAAUUAAAUAUUAAGAGAAGACCAUUGGAGGAUACCAUGGAACAUUCUGGAUAACAGUUUUUGUUCCCAGACAGAAUUUCUGAGGGAAAUUUUAUUUCUCAGAACCAAGUCCAUGACCUAUAUUUUGAAUUUCUGAUGUGAAGUCAUCAAGGCACAAAGACCACCUUAUUUUCCCAAGUGAAAAGCUCCAGAAAAACAUCCAUCAUGGUGAUCACUAAGAACAUGUGCUACUCUUGAAAGGACACCAGGAAAAUAAAGCACCCGACAUUCAAGACACAACCCCCCACACCUCCUGGAUGAGUCAGUGUGUGACAACAUGUACGUCUGAGCAUGACAACGUGUACGUCUGUGUGCGUGUCUUGGUUCUUUAGGAAGAGUGACUGAAGCACUGUCUCCCUGGGCCAGCAUGAUAGUAACUUAGGGUGGUAUUGUCUGUCCAUCUCUCCUGCCAUAGGGUACAUGAAAUAUAACCCUCUCCACUGUCCCAUGCCACAGGUGCUCAGUUGUGAUAACGAAUGAACCUUUGCAGAACCAAACAGCCAUUGUCCUUCUGACACAAAGUCCAUAUUAGCAUUACCAUUCAGUACAGGGACACAUUACAUUCACUCAGGAGCAACAGGGUGAGCUGCCAUCUGCUUUAUCACCUCAGCCACCCAUCCAGUCUCAGAGGGGAAAAGCUCCCUGAAUUGUCUUUGCCACCAGGAAGUUUCUAGAGCUGCUCUCUGGGGGUUGAGCAUUUGCUGUGAAACUGAGAAAAGUCCUUGGGCAGAUGCUCCUAGGACUGUGGAAUCAAUGGCUAGAACUGAUAAUGCCAAUCAGAUAAUACUGCUUAAGUCUAACCAACAUCAGUUAGCAUUGGUCAGUAAUUUUACUUCUCUGUGCAGCAUCAAUUCUGUACGUUAAUGACAACUUCUUGCUGCUGUGAGCACCCAUACAAUAAACACAACAUUUACAGCAGUGCAAGGAAGACUAGUAAUAAAAUCUCACAUUAUUCCCCUCAGGCUGCACACAGAAAUGGGGCCUGUGAGAUAUGACAGAUACUUACAGAGGCAGAUGUCCACCAGGAACAUAACAUA